rnacentral:rRNA from 1 species
CACGUAGGGCGCAAGCGUUGUCCGGAAUUAUUGGGCGUAAAGAGCUCGUAGGUGGUUUGUUACGUCUGCUGUGAAAACCUAGGGCUUAACCCUGGGCUUGCAGUGGAUACGGGCAGACUAGAGGUAGGUAGGGGAGACUGGAAUUCAUGGUGUAGCAGUGAAAUGCGUAGAGAUCAUGAGGAAGACCAGUGGCGAAGGCGGGUCUCUGGACAGUUCCUGACACUGAGACACGAAGGCCAGGGGAGCAAACGGG